rnacentral:misc_RNA from 1 species
UUUUUCGUUGAUCGGACACUAUAAAGGGAGGUUGCCACGUGAAGGAGGGAACCGGGAGGGUACAUUGAAGGAUUUUACGAAUUUUGGAGGGGUAAGAUUGGAAGACAAGGAGUAUUUUAGUGGGAGCUUGAUUGAGACCAAGAGAGAAGAAGUCUCCGCUUUGAAGAGGUCCAACUCCUACGAUGCAGAUAGGAGUUCGCAGCUGCAAUUGGCUGGACAGGAAGAAGAGGGAGAACGCAUCAAGUGCAUACCAAGGAAGCCAAAGGCAAUGCCAACCAAGAAAGAGAGCAACAUUAGUGUCUCUGGUGAACGUAAUGCGAAUAAUCAACUGGGGAGCAAAAGAUUCGAGAUCCAGCAAGU